rnacentral:rRNA from 2 species
CUCUGGUAUUGAUUGGUGCUUGCAUCAUGAUUUACAUUUGAGUGAGUGGCGAACUGGUGAGUAACACGUGGGAAACCUGCCCAGAAGCGGGGGAUAACACCUGGAAACAGAUGCUAAUACCGCAUAACAACUUGGACCGCAUGGUCCGAGUUUGAAAGAUGGCUUCGGCUAUCACUUUUGGAUGGUCCCGCGGCGUAUUAGCUAGAUGGUGGGGUAACGGCUCACCAUGGCAAUGAUACGUAGCCGACCUGAGAGGGUAAUCGGCCACAUUGGGACUGAGACACGGCCCAAACUCCUACGGGAGGCAGCAGUAGGGAAUCUUCCACAAUGGACGAAAGUCUGAUGGAGCAACGCCGCGUGAGUGAAGAAGGGUUUCGGCUCGUAAAACUCUGUUGUUAAAGAAGAACAUAUCUGAGAGUAACUGUUCAGGUAUUGACGGUAUUUAACCAGAAAGCCACGGCUAACUACGUGCCAGCAGCCGCGGUAAUACGUAGGUGGCAAGCGUUGUCCGGAUUUAUUGGGCGUAAAGCGAGCGCAGGCGGUUUUUUAAGUCUGAUGUGAAAGCCUUCGGCUCAACCGAAGAAGUGCAUCGGAAACUGGGAAACUUGAGUGCAGAAGAGGACAGUGGAACUCCAUGUGUAGCGGUGAAAUGCGUAGAUAUAUGGAAGAACACCAGUGGCGAAGGCGGCUGUCUGGUCUGUAACUGACGCUGAGGCUCGAAAGUAUGGGUAGCAAACAGGAUUAGAUACCCUGGUAGUCCAUACCGUAAACGAUGAAUGCUAAGUGUUGGAGGGUUUCCGCCCUUCAGUGCUGCAGCUAACGCAUUAAGCAUUCCGCCUGGGGAGUACGGCCGCAAGGCUGAAACUCAAAGGAAUUGACGGGGGCCCGCACAAGCGGUGGAGCAUGUGGUUUAAUUCGAAGCUACGCGAAGAACCUUACCAGGUCUUGACAUACUAUGCAAAUCUAAGAGAUUAGACGUUCCCUUCGGGGACAUGGAUACAGGUGGUGCAUGGUUGUCGUCAGCUCGUGUCGUGAGAUGUUGGGUUAAGUCCCGCAACGAGCGCAACCCUUAUUAUCAGUUGCCAGCAUUAAGUUGGGCACUCUGGUGAGACUGCCGGUGACAAACCGGAGGAAGGUGGGGAUGACGUCAAAUCAUCAUGCCCCUUAUGACCUGGGCUACACACGUGCUACAAUGGAUGGUACAACGAGUUGCGAACUCGCGAGAGUAAGCUAAUCUCUUAAAGCCAUUCUCAGUUCGGAUUGUAGGCUGCAACUCGCCUACAUGAAGUCGGAAUCGCUAGUAAUCGCGGAUCAGCAUGCCGCGGUGAAUACGUUCCCGGGCCUUGUACACACCGCCCGUCACACCAUGAGAGUUUGUAACACCCAAAGUCGGUGGGGUAACCUUUUAGGAACCAGCCGCCUAAGGUGGGACAGAUGAUUAGGG